rnacentral:rRNA from 1 species
CCUACGGGAGGCAGCAGUGGGGAAUAUUGCGCAAUGGGCGAAAGCCUGACGCAGCGACGCCGCGUGAGGGAUGAAGGUCUUCGGAUCGUAAACCUCUGUCAGCAGGGAAGAAAGGUCACUGUGCUAAUCAGCAGUGAAUUGACGGUACCUGCAAAGGAAGCACCGGCUAACUCCGCGCCAGCAGCGGAGGUAAUACGGAGGGUGCGAGCGUUAAUCGGAAUUGAUGGGCGUAAAGGGCUCGUAGGCGGUAUGUCAAGGCAAGGGUGAAAUCCCCGCGCUCAAGGUGGGAACUGGCUGUGAAACUGGCAAACUGGAGUGUGUGAGAGGAUAGUGGAAUGCCAGGUGUAGGAGUGAAAUCCGUAGAGAUCUGGAGGAACAUCAGUGGCGAAGGCGACUAUCUGGCACAUAACUGACGCUGAGGAGCGAAAGCGUGGGUAGCAAACAGGAUUAGAUACCCUAGUAGUC